rnacentral:rRNA from 1 species
AACGCUGGCGGCAGGCUUAACCCAUGCAAGUCGAACGCACCUUUCGGGGUGAGUGGCAGCCGGGUGAGUAACGCGUGGGAAUCUACCCUUCUCUACGGGAUAGCUCCGGGAAACUGGAAUUAAUACCGUAUACGUCCUGAGGGAGAAAGAUUUAUCGGGGAAGGAUGAGCCCGCGUUGGAUUAGCUAGUUGGUGGGGUAAAGGCCUACCAAGGCGACGAUCCAUAGCUGGUCUAAGAGGAUGAUCAGCCACAUUGGGACUGAGACACGGCCCAAACUCCUACGGGAGGCAGCAGUGGGGAAUAUUGGACAAUGGGCGCAAGCCUGAUCCAGCCAUGCCGCGUGAGUGAUGAAGGCCCUAGGGUUGUAAAGCUCUUUCAGUGGGGACGAUAAUGACGGUACCCACAGAAGAAGCCCCGGCUAACUUCGUG